rnacentral:rRNA from 1 species
UUCCCUUAGUAACUGCGAGUGAAGAGGGAAAAGCUCAAAUUUAAAAUCUGGCAGUGUUUCACUGUCCGAGUUGUAACCUAGAGAAGUGUAACCUGCGCUGGACCGUGUAUAAGUCUCCUGGAAUGGAGCAUCACAGAGGGUGAGAAUCCCGUCUUUGACAUGGACUACCAGUGCAUUGUGGUUGCGCUCUCAACGAGUCGAGUUGUUUGGGAAUGCAGCUCUAAAUGGGUGGUAAAUUCCAUCUAAAGCUAAAUAUUGGCGAGAGACCGAUAGCGAACAAGUACCGUGAGGGAAAGAUGAAAAGAACUUUGGAAAGAGAGUUAAACAGUAUGUGAAAUUGUUGAAAGGGAAACGUUUGAAGUCAGUCGCGUUGGUUGGGGAUCAGCCUGACAUUGUUGGGUGUACUUCCUGGUCGACGGGCCAACAUCAGUUUUGACUGCCAGAAAAAGAUCAAAGGAAUGUGGCACCUUUGGGUGUGUUAUAGCCCUUGGUCGUAUAUGGUGGUUGGGACUGAGGAAAGCAGCGUGCCAAAAGGCCGGGUUUCGACCACGUUCACGCUGAGGAUGUUGGCAUAAUGGCUUUAAGCGACCCGUCUUGAAACACGGACCAAGGAGUCUAACAUGCAUGCGAGUGUUUGGGUGGAAAACCCUUACGCGUAAUGAAAGUGAAAGUUGAGAUCCCUGUCGCGGGGAGCAUCGACGCCCGGACCAGAACUUUUGGGACGGAUCCGCGGUAGAGCACGUAUGUUGGGACCCGAAAGAUGGUGAACUAUGCCUGAAUAGGGUGAAGCCAGAGGAAACUCUGGUGGAGGCUCGUAGCGAUUCUGACGUGCAAAUCGAUCGUCAAAUUUGGGUAUAGGGGCGAAA